GGAUCGAUGAUGACUCCCACAAAAACAUUCCUUGGAAGCUGAACAAAAUGAGUGAAAACUCCAUACCGUCGUCCUCAUCGAACUGAGGUCC
ensembl:snoRNA SNORD116 Small nucleolar RNA SNORD116